GACGAACGCUGGCGGCGUGCUUAACACAUGCAAGUCGAACGGAAAGGUCUCUUUCGGUGUCUUCUCGAGUGGCGAACGGUUGAGUAACACGUGAGUAACCUGUCCUUCACUUUUGGAUAACUUUCGAGAACUGGGUCAAAUUCCGUAAAGAAUCUCCUUCUGCCCUGAGGUAUCUGGACAGCUUCGGUGGUUGGGGAUGGAUUCGCUGCCUUUCAGCUUGUUGGUGGGGUAGUGGCUUACCAAGGCUUUUACGGGUAGCCGGCCUGCGAGGGUGAUCGGCCACAUUGGGACUGAGAUACGGCCCAGACUCCUACGGGAGGCAGCAGUGGAGAAGAUUGCACAAUGGGUGGAAGCCUGAUGCAGCAACGCCGUGUGCGGGAUGACGGCCUUCGGGUUGUAAACCGCUUUCGCUCAUGACGAAGCUUUGUGUGACGGUAGUGGGUAAAGAAGCACCGGCUAACUACGUG
rnacentral:rRNA from 1 species